CAGGAGAUCGACGUGGACGACGAACCCACAUCCUCGCACCAAAGUACUGUUGUGAACAGACAACUGAUAGAUGAGGUCAAGAUGGGCGACGAACUAUCAAGAACACAGCCAUGCAGAGCUGUUGUGCACAGCGAACAGCGCACACAUAGCCAGAAGGUAGACACACUAUCUGUGCCGACGCAAGAUCGUGUCACUUCCCUGCGCCGUCAUGGU